GGAAGGGUGCCGGAGCGGUCUAACGGAACGGCUUGGAAAGCCGUGGCUCGAAAGGGCCUCGUGGGUUCGAAUCCCACCCCUUCCG
rfam:Candidatus Jorgensenbacteria bacterium RIFCSPLOWO2_01_FTLL_45_25b rifcsplowo2_01_scaffold_763, whole genome shotgun sequence.